GACGAACGCUGGCGGCGUGCCUAAUACAUGCAAGUAGAACGCACAGUUUAUACCGUAGCUUGCUACACCAUAAACUGUGAGUUGCGAACGGGUGAGUAACGCGUAGGUAACCUGCCUGGUAGCGGGGGAUAACUAUUGGAAACGAUAGCUAAUACCGCAUAAUAUUGAUUAUUGCAUGAUAAUUGAUUGAAAGAUGCUAUUGCAUCACUACCAGAUGGACCUGCGUUGUAUUAGCUAGUAGGUGAGGUAACGGCUCACCUAGGCGACGAUACAUAGCCGACCUGAGAGGGUGAUCGGCCACACUGGGACUGAGACACGGCCCAGACUCCUACGGGAGGCAGCAGUAGGGAAUCUUCGGCAAUAGACGAAAGUCUGACCGAGCAACGCCGCGUGAGUGAAGAAGGUUUUCGGAUCGUAAAGCUCUGUUGUAAGAGAAGAACGGGUGUGAGAGUGGAAAGUUCACACUGUGACGGUAUCUUACCAGAAAGGGACGGCUAACUACGUG
rnacentral:rRNA from 1 species